rnacentral:rRNA from 1 species
GAUGAACGCUGGCGGCGUGCCUAAUACAUGCAAGUCGAGCGAACGGACGAGAAGCUUGCUUCUCUGAUGUUAGCGGCGGACGGGUGAGUAACACGUGGAUAACCUACCUAUAAGACUGGGAUAACUUCGGGAAACCGUAGCUAAUACCGGAUAAUAUUUUGAACCGCAUGGUUCAAAAGUGAAAGACGGUCUUGCUGUCACUUAUAGAUGGAUCCGCGCUGCAUUAGCUAGUUGGUAAGGUAACGGCUUACCAAGGCAACGAUGCAUAGCCGACCUGAGAGGGUGAUCGGCCACACUGGAACUGAGACGCGGUCCAGACUCCGACGGGAGGCAGAAGUAGGGAAUCUUCCGCAAUGGGCGAAAGCCUGACGGAGCAACGCCGCGUGAGUGAUGAAGGUCUUCGGAUCGUAAAACUCUGUUAUUAGGGAAGAACAUAUGUGUAAGUAACUGUGCACAUCUUGACGGUACCUAAUCAGAAAGCCACGGCUAACUACGUG